UGAUAGCCCAACAAUUUGAUUGUUUGUAGUCCUUGAUUGCAUUGUACUGGAUUGAUAGACAACACUGGCUUCAUUUGAUCACCCAAGUUAUCAACCUCCCCAGCAACAUCUACCCAAUCAUUUUCUAAAUUCUCAUCCUUAACUGACUCCUUAUGUGAUUCAUCCAAUUACAUAGUUGCUAAGGUUUUUGGCUUGCAUACAUCUCUUGGAAAAUGCUUCUCCCUGAAGCAUGGCUUUGGUAAAUUUCUUUAGGAUAGGGUUAUGAAGGUUGUAGGUUUAUGUUAUGGUCUCAGGUCAUAGAUUGCAUCACGGGAUAAUUGAUAGGAAAGGAGUUCAUCAGAAGGAGCUCGUAACGGCUCAAUCUCACAAUUCUGGGAUAAGUAUGCUUGUUUUAUUACUCAUACAUUAAUCCCAUAUAUAAAAUGAAGGUUAUACAAUAACAUAAGAAUUCAUAACAAAUUAAAAGUCCUAAAUAAUAACUAACAAUAAUAAAGGUUGAUGAUAACUAGAUAAAGAUGAUGAUUACAAAAAGUCUAUCCUAAUCUAAACAAUAUUUAAGAUUGAUUGAUUCUGAAAAAAAACUUCCUCAAUAUUUGGACUCUAAUGGAUUUGCUCUGUCCAUUAUCCCUAACAGUUUACCUACGGGUUGAGUAACAGAACUACUACAUCCCACAAAGGCUGUUUUAUCAUUGGUGUUGGUUAUAGGACUUGAUUUUAGGGUAGGUUCUAAUAGGAGGUUUUGCGGAAAUAAGAAUUCAUAACAAAUUAAAAGUCCUAAAUAAUAACUAACAAUAAUAAAGGUUGAUGAUAACUAGAUAAAGAUGAUGAUUACAAAAAGUCUAUCCUAAUCUAAACAAUAUUUAAGAUUGAUUGAUUCUGAAAAAAAACUUCCUCAAUAUUUGGACUCUAAUGGAUUUGCUCUGUCCAUUAUCCUUAACAGUUUACCUACGGGUUGAGUAACAGAACUACUACAUCCCACAAAGGCUGUUUUAUCAUUGGUGUUGGUUAUAGGACUUGAUUUUAGGGUAGGUUCUAAUAGGAGGUUUUGCGGAAAAUGAGUAGAAUUGAGAAGGUUUGGAGGAUUGGAACAAUGUUGUUUCUAGUAUGUAUAGGUGGAGAAAGGUUUGUGUGAUAUUGGUUUCUACUGGUCUCCUGGAAUUUUUCCUGUAACCUUGCUGCUUCAAAUGCCUAUGGAAGUGGCACAGGUUUCAUCAUCCUCACUAUUGGCCUUAUAUCAUUCUUUAGUCUUUUAGUGAAUACAGAGAAAAGAUAGGCCUCCCGAGUUCUGGUACUAGUCUCUUGAUCUGGACCCUUAAUUCGAUAAUUCUCUAUUGAUUCCUCUUGCCUCACCCUCAUGAACUCCUACACAACUUCCUCAAGCCCUUUGCUCCCCAAAUCUAGCGUACAAUCCCUUUUCAAAGAGAUCCCAAGUUCCCUUUUCCAAUUAUCAAACCAAGAGUCAACUCCAACUAAGAAUAGACAUGCGAUAUUUACUCUCUGCUAAUAGAACUUGAUAAAUCUCAAAAUAUUUCAAGCAUUUAUUAAGCCAAACC
rnacentral:lncRNA from 1 species